rnacentral:rRNA from 1 species
UACAGAGGGUGCGAGCGUUGUCCGGAAUCACUGGGCGUAAAGGGCGCGUAGGUGGUGGCCUAAGCGUGCGGUGAAAGCCCGAGGCUCAACCUCGGGUCGGCCGUGCGAACUGGGUCACUGGAGCAGAAUAGAGGCAGGUGGAAUUCCGGGUGUAGCGGUGGAAUGCGUAGAGAUCCGGAAGAACACCGGUGGCGAAGGCGGCCUGCUGGGUUCUGGCUGACACUGAGGCGCGACAGCGUGGGGAGCAAACAGG